CUCCGAUUCUACGAGGCUUGAUGCGACCAGUUCGCUGGAAGCUGCCACAAGAUGGCUGGGAGAGCUGCCCCUUCUCUUCCGGUGCGAGCACCAUCCGGGACACCGAGGAGCGCGCACCAAUCUGAGCACGAGGAUGUAACAUGAAAGGGACGCUGUCAGUCGCCACAACGCUAGACUGGUGAGUUUGUGGCUGCAGAUGCUGCUUUGUUAAAAAUAGCCCAUGUUAUUUUUAGGAAAAGAAACAGAUGUGCAAAAAUAGACAAAUAAGGAGAUUUCAGCUCAAAUAAAAUCAGUGAAGAAUGUUUAUCAAUGUAGUGUGAUACUCCAUCGUCAGCUUAAAUAAAUCCAAGCAGAUUCUAAUGUUAAACACUAGUAGGUACCUCAGUGAUGGUUCAGAUGUGCGUCUGUGACUUUAUGCUGAUGCUGCAGCCUUGCAUCUCAUAAUAUUGUGUUGGAUUUUGUUGAGUAUAACAGAGUAAAGAUAACUUGAAACCACCAGUAAGUUAAUAACCAGAACAAUAAGGACAGUUGUUAUAACACCCCUGUCCUUUUUGUUCUAAAAUCUUUACAGCACAGUAGAAGUCUAGUGUUUAAGACGAGUCGCGAAAUGUUUCUGUAAUUUAAUAAUUUCGCAUUUUAAUGAAAUUACAUAUGUCCACAGAUGUGUAAACAUACAGUGACAAAGGACAGAGGAGUGGAUUCAGUAGCACUACUGGCUGCUACUGAGUUCUACAGCCUGUUGAGGUUUAGUGGAGUUUGCUUCAAAUUACACUUCUUCACAAUCUGUCCCGUGUGCUGAGCAAGCUUGUGAUAACACGUGAUACUGUAAGGUUUUCAUGAAAUAGUCCUCCCCCAGAAAACACUGGGUCUUCACCAGGAUGUUUAACCUUCACGUUCAUCUGCGUUAUGGGGAGUGUUUAUCUGUGUUUGUGGAUGAGUGGGACUUCAUGACCUUGGCCUAGUUUGGACUCAGUGCUGGUUGUCUAUGCAACUGGGAUGAAUUUGAUAUGGAACCUGUAGGGAUUAGUGGAGCCUGUGUAGUGCUUCUACUCAGUGAAUAGGUCUCACAUCUUUGAAAAAAAAUGUUCUGGAUUUUUAUUUUUGGUAGAAAAAGAAAUAGUUUUAUCUGGAAACUAUAUCAUGUAAAUAACUUGUGUAUGGUAUAGCUCCCAUAAUACUAUCGUAACAUUUCCUUUCAUACAAAAGACAAUGAACACCAUUCCCUACAGAGGAGAGAAAGAGUAACUAAUGACUCAUAAUAAUAUAUUAAAUAAGCAUUUUUUUUUUACAUUAAGUGUAGCCUGCUCUAAAAAAAGAGCAGGUGUUUAAUUGCAUAUAAUUUUCUCGAUAGUAAACAGAAUCAAAUAGUAGAGGCAGACAGACACAAAUUACAAGUCGCUGAGGUAAACGUGUACAGACAAGUCUUUCAGGAUCAGCUCAUAGGAUAAGUAGUUCAGUAUUAAAUAUAAAAACAUAACCGCAUAGCCAAGCUUGUACCUAAGAGUGAAAGGAUGAAUAUACCCUUUCACACAUCAUCCUUGACACCUGAUUUAUGUGUUGACGCUUUGCCUAUCCCAUUAGAAACCUCAGCAGCUGCUUCAUUCGCUUAAACUAGACAAACCAUCUAUAAUGUAUUCGCUGCGGUGACAUGAUCCCCUGAUCACACACUGCUGCUGGUCAUUCCGCGGCUUAAAGAAACCAGACCGUGAACCAACAGCUAAUUAACUCUGUGGGCCGGGAAACACGAUGCACAGAUCAGGUGAAAACACAGCAGGAGGUCGGAUCUACGUUACACUGGAGAAGCGGCAGCACAUGAGACCUCCGCCGGUUAUUGAUCUCAUGCAAACUUGACGACCCCCGACUACAAUGUGUGUCAAAAUAUGUGAUCGGCUCAGGAGACAAACGUUUCCCUGAAUAUUUGUGAAGAAAAAUACAUAUUUCCACUAUUAAUAUGAAGAAGGCACAUUUAGGCACAAUGAGUAGGCUUGUAAAUAUGACAGAAAGGCCCCUAACACCAGCUUUUUAGAAUACUGGUUGUAAUGAGGGUCAAGUACAUUAUAUGACGUUUAAUGUAUGUACUUUAGGUUCUUAUAACCAUGGUGUCAGGGGACCAGGAAGAUGUCUAGUAGUUCUCUUUUUCAAAAAACAUUGAAGGGUUGCGUUUUGUACAUUAAAAACUAUCGGUAUCAUGCUGAGAACACAGUUUACCCAGUGCCGAUUGAGGUAAUCUGCUUUUGGUAAACACUGUACUUGGUUGUUUUACACCUGGUGUUUUACAUCAACCAACAAUUGACUGAUUGAUUGGCCUGACAGAAGAGGAGAGCAAACACUGUGAUGGAAAGAGCAGUCUACGGAUAUUCUCCGAAGGAAGAAAAGGGCAGAAGCAGACAUGGAUGGAUGGAAUUUAUUCUCUAAAUAAUAGAUUAUUAUCUUUGAACUGUGGAAAGGUCUCUCUUUGUAACCGUUCCUGGACAGGGGUUCAUCUGCAGGCAUAUGCUUUUACAGUGUUUAUGUAAUUACUCCCACUACCAGAAGGGGGAGACAGAGAUCAAACUCUACAAGUUUAAUAUAAAUGAACAAA